UUAAGUUCAGCGGGUAGUCCUACCUGAUUUGAGGUCAGAUGACGUGUGUAUUGUCCAAAAAGGACGACUGUGAGCCGUCCCGUUACCACAAAACGCGAGCGAAUUUCAUUUAUCACACCGUUGUCUGUGGAAAUGGGAACGGCUAAUACAUUUCGAGACGAGCCGUCUCACAACGGCAAACGUCCAAAUCCGAACCCCGA
rnacentral:misc_RNA from 1 species